ACAAAAUGACUCUCGGCAACGGAUAUCUCGGCUCUUGCAUCGAUGAAGAACGUAGCGAAAUGCGAUACGUGGUGUGAAUUGCAGAAUCCCGUGAACCAUCGAGUUUUUGAACGCAAGUUGCGCCCAAAGCCUUUUGGUUGAGGGCACGUCUGCCUGG
rnacentral:rRNA from 1 species